UGACCGAUAGUGAACCAGUACCGUGAGGGAAAGGCGAAAAGAACCCCUGUGAGGGGAGUGAAAUAGAUCCUGAAACCGCAUGCAUACAAGCAGUGGGAGCACCUUCGUGGUGUGACUGCGUACCUUUUGUAUAAUGGGUCAGCGACUUAUAUUCAGUAGCAAGGUUAACCGUAUAGGGGAGCCGUAGAGAAAUCGAGUCUUAAUAGGGCGUUUAGUUGCUGGGUAUAGACCCGAAACCAGGCGAUCUAUCCAUGAGCAGGUUGAAGGUUGGGUAACACUAACUGGAGGACCGAACCCACUGUCGUUGAAAAGCCAGGGGAUGACUUGUGGAUAGGGGUGAAAGGCUAAUCAAGCCUGGUGAUAGCUGGUUCUCCCCGAAAGCUAUUUAGGUAGCGCCUCGGACGAAUACCAUAGGGGGUAGAGCACUGUUUCGGCUAGGGGGUCAUCCCGACUUACCAAACCGAUGCAAACUCCGAAUACCUAUGAGUACUAUCCGGGAGACAGACUGCGGGUGCUAACGUCCGUAGUCAAGAGGAAAACAAUCCAGACCGCCAGCUAAGGCCCCAAAAUCAUAGUUAAGUGGGAAACGAUGUGGGAAGGCAUAGACAGCUAGGAGGUUGGCUUAGAAGCAGCCACCCUUUAAAGAAAGCGUAAUAGCUCACUAGUCGAGUCGGCCUGCGCGGAAGAUGUAACGGGGCUAAAA
rnacentral:rRNA from 1 species